rnacentral:rRNA from 1 species
UACGUAGGCAGCGAGCGUUGUUCGGAAUUAUUGGGCGUAAAGAGCUCGUAGGCGGUCUGUCGCGUCGGAUGUGAAAGCCCGGGGCUUAACCCCGGGUCUGCAUUCGAUACGGGCAGACUAGAGUGCGGUAGGGGAGAUCGGAAUUCCUGGUGUAGCGGUGAAAUGCGCAGAUAUCAGGAGGAACACCAAUGGCGAAGGCAGCACUCUGGGACGUGACUGACGCUGAGACGCGAAAGCGUGGGGAGCAAACAGG